AUUGAACGCUGGCGGCAGGCCUAACACAUGCAAGUCGAACGAGUGGCGGACGGGUGAGUAAUGUCUGGGAAACUGCCUGAUGGAGGGGGAUAACUACUGGAAACGGUCGCUAAUACCGCAUACCAUCGGAUGUGCCCAGAUGGGAUUAGCUAGUAGGUGGGGUAAAGGCUCACCUAGGCGACGAUCCCUAGCUGGUCUGAGAGGAUGACCAGCCACACUGGAACUGAGACACGGUCCAGACUCCUACGGGAGGCAGCAGUGGGGAAUAUUGGACAAUGGGCGCAAGCCUGAUGCAGCCAUGCCGCGUGAAUGAAGAAGGCCUUCGGGUUGUAAAGUACUUUCGGCGGGGAGGCGUUACCCACAGAAGAAGCACCGGCUAACUCCGUGCCAGCAGCCGCGGUAAUAC
rnacentral:rRNA from 1 species